GUUAUGAGAAGAACAUAUCAAAACCCUCUCGCUGGCAGAAUAUUUAAAUUUUUUUGUUCAGUUACUGAUUAGAAUCAUCAAACUAUAGAUUGGAAAGGAUGCUUGGAGGUCAUCUGGUCCAACCUCAUGCUGAAAGCAGACCUGACUUCCCAAUUAGAUGAUGUUGUCCACGGCCUUGUUUGGUGAGCUGUGUCUCUCUCUGGGAGCAGUGAUGCUGCAGUCUCCUUCUGCUUUCCUGUGCUCAACUGCACCCCAUGAGAAGAAUUGUCUUCCUUCUUUCAAAAGACAGUGACAAAGCCGCAGCAGACUUGUGGUAGGCUUCUGGAGUGCAAUUAUCCAAUUCCACAGCA
rnacentral:lncRNA from 1 species